rnacentral:lncRNA from 1 species
ACCAUCAAUAGCUGUAGCCAUCAAUUAAAUUUUAUUUACAGUCAAUUUCAGAGAGAACAGAAAUAAGCAAAACUGCACAUGCACCCGACAAAUACUGAGUUAAACUUGAGUUUCCACAACACUACCAUUGCAGCAAUUUAUCACAGUACACAAAAAAUGGGACAACCGAAUUCUAAUUCUAUAACAUUAAAUAAGAUACAAAAUAAGAGGUCGUAACGCGUUGACAGUAUCCCUUUUUUACUCGCCAUGUUUCCAUGUAGCGAUAUGGGGCCGGAGAAAGGACGAAGAGAGAUCGAGUUACUCUUGCUUAUGGCAUAUCAAGACUCCAAUGAGGCGAACUUAAUGAAAUUUAACACUCGAUAUCAAAAUUUGUCAAGUCCAGUCGAUAAAUUUCUCGAGCUGAUCUUGAUCCUCCCCGGUCUGCAGCCCUACGUAACACAGAAGAUUAGCUUAAAUAUUUUUCACAUAUAAACUUUUAAUGUCACUAUCUAUGACAACUUUAUUAUAAGAAAAAUAUUGCUUGAAUAAUUUUCACAUAUAAAACUUUUCACGUCACUUUCCAUGACAACUUUAUUAUACGAAAAAUAGGAAGGAAACUGAUAUUGGACCACAUUUUACUUAUAAAAUACAGAAUGAAAUCAGUAAGCAUUUCAGAAACACAGUGCAGAAAUGAGGACCACCCUACAAACCCAAUCUGCAGAAGCUAAUCAUUUGAAAAUAAACUAAUUUAUUUCCCAAAUAGGAGGGAGGCUCUUCAUCCAUACUUGGAAACAAUUAUCACAUUGUCCCAUAAACCAGAAGUUGCAUGAAGUGAUUGAGGAUAAAUAAUAAAAAAAAAUAUAUAUAUCUACUUAAAAAGAUAACUUAUGUACCAUUUAUGAAUAAAAAGAAAAUGUUGGUGCAUCCUACUACAUGCAUAAAGAAAUAAGAAAAAACAGAAAAAACUAUGACAUCGUAAAGCAUAUAAAAUCAUACCUGUAGCUUCCACAUAUCACCUGAAAGUACGCAAUUUCCAAAUCCAAAUGGCAAUCUUGCAUGUUCAAUUUAAUAAAAAUGAGAGAGCAAGAAACAGAUGGUGUUUUAUGAUACAUUAAUAGACAAAACAGUGAAAGAAGUGCUGAAAAUUGUACAGUACCAGGUAUUUGAAUUAUCAUAAUCAUCAGAUUAUUACCAAAACUGUAAACUGUGUAGGGAUACAUAUGAUACUUGGAACCAGAUAUUAAACUUUCUGAUAGAAUCUUUAAAACAUUUAGCUCGAGCAGCAGUUCACAGUUUUACGCACUCGAAUAAGCUAUAAUUUUGAAGUAAAAUCAACAGAAACACUCCCAAGUAAAACUCUGUGUCUAUAAGUAAUACUGAAAAGGUGGCAAAACUACGCGUCAAAGGAAUAAUUUAUAAAAGAAUCCAAGAAACAACUCAAAAAAUGUAAAACGUCGAGUAUAAACUCAAAUGAGGAGCUUCCAACUGAUUUUGAUUUAGAAAACUAUUGAAGAAAAAAAACCGCAACAAAAUUUCAAGCUAUUUCUUCAUAAGCAAACAUUCAACAAACAAGGGGAGUUCACCUCUUACUGUAUGACCAUGAUGUCGAGCUUUCGUAUGAUCAACAGCAACAAGAAUGAUUUUGAGCACGUCUAAUCAAUAGACUAUGAUUUAUGGAAAUAUGGAAAAGGAACCAUGUUAGACUUUUCUCUCUAAUAACCAUAGAAGUUUAGUUCGGUUUAUCCAUAGGAAAUUAACAACUACUUGAACCAGAAGGUCACGAAGAGAUACUAGAGAUGAGAUCUUAGGUUAUUUACCGAGAUUUAGCAACAUUUUCUUAAAAAAGUUUACAUGAGAACGACCGCAGAAGAAAAACAGCCAGCUGUAUGUCAUCAAAAUUCACCGUUCAACAUUCAAUAAAAGCAUGUAUGGUAUACAAGAUUAGAUGGUAUAAAUAUACAAUGGACAAGAUUUUAUUUUCUUUUUUUACAUAUAUUGUUCACUACUGUACAAUCAAUCUUGCCAAACGAGCCAUAAGUGAAUAAUAAAGGCAUCUUGCCAGAAGGGGAUCAUCUUUUGGAUACAAGACUCAGCCCAAAGGAAAACAAAAUGAAGGCAACAGCAAGAGGAGCUCCCUUCAGUCCAAGCACAGAGAAAGAGGGACAUGAAACUAUCUCCCGCAUCAUUCAUUCAAUCACAGUAGCAUCAAACAUCCUGUAAUCUACUUAGUGGCUAAACGAAUGAGUCGGCAGCUAGUUCAACCCCCAGUAUCGUCCAUGAAUGGGCUGACAGAAGCUCCUUUGAACCAUUUCUCAGUGCAGAAACAUUUCAAAAUAUUGAUCAUGUUAUCCAAAGGAUCAAGAAGACUUACAAGAGAGUGAUAGAGGAAAACAAUUGAAAUUUCAAUCCUUCAACUUAAAAGUCUAUCAACUACAUAUGGACAACCAAAAUCAAGACAUAUUUUAUGCUAAUAACCUGACAAAUUAAGAAACCCCAAUAUUCACAAAACUAUCUGGAUUUUGAUUAUUUUCAGACAAUAACUUCCACUGGAAUUUAUUAAGUAAACCAAAAGAGUAUAUAAAUUAUUUGUAAGGGAAAGCAGACCUUAGGUUCCAUUGCCUAUAUUUUAUCAAUAAAAGGAUAUAUAUAAAUGAAAUUGAAAACUGAUUUCAAUUCUUAAAGAUUAAAAUGAAAAAAAAUAAAAUAAAAUAUUCUUGAACUGAUGCAACAAACCCUAAAAUCAAGGGAUGAUGUUACUGAGAAGGAAAAUCAAAACCCAUAAUCCAGAUAUCCACAAUUAUGUUAAUCCAUAACAAAAAUUAAUUCAAAAAUUAAAUUAUCAAAUGAAGUUAUUGUAAAGCAAAUUAAAUAUAUAAAUAUGAUAGGCAAAUGAAAGAAAUUAUUUAACUGCUCAUACUUGUGAUGGAGAAGCACAGAAAAGAUGAAACCCUAAAUCGCCAAUGACGUGGGUUUCAUUGUAGUU